rnacentral:misc_RNA from 1 species
GCAAACUUGGUCAUUUAGAGGAAGUAAAAGUCGUAACAAGGUUUCCGUAGGUGAACCUGCGGAAGGAUCAUUAACGCAUCUUCUGACGGGGAGGGCGGUCCCGGCUCCGACCGAGAGGUCGUGCAGCGGGCCCGCUCGAACCGCUCAACCCCCUUUGCAAACCCCACUUGUGCACUUUUGUCGGCAGAGGACGGGGAGACCCGCCCGAGCCGGAUCACAGACUCCAGUCUAACGAGAACGAUUCGCGGACGAUGCGCCGCCUAAACUUUGUAACAACUUUCAACAACGGAUCUCUUGGCUCUCGCAUCGAUGAAGAACGCAGC